AUAAAAAGCAAGAGAAACAUACAAAUCAGGCCCAUCUGGAGAGAAGGGAGUGAAGCAUUGCGCUGAUACGGGGAUAAAUAUGCUGGUUGGGUAGACAGGCAGUCCUUAUGCUUUUGGCUGACGUAGAUGUUACGUACUAUUUCAUGUGUUAUCACACUCUCCAGUAAACACGUAACAUAAGAGAAUAAUUAACCACUAUCAAGCGUUCUCAUCUUGAGACAGGAAGAUGUAGAGGAAAGACCUUGAUGUGUGUGUCAGUUACAAGGAUGUACACCAGUGACUGACAUGACUUGGUGCAAAUCUUGGGUAGAGACCUAUACUUAAGCUCCUCACCCCCACCUGCCGAGGCGUAAGGGCUCAGAGGGGGUUCCAUGGGGUGGGCGGGAGUGGUAAGGGUCGAGGUGCAGCCACAGCCUGGCUCUGUGCACACCCCCUCCCUCCCCCUGG
rnacentral:lncRNA from 1 species